rnacentral:lncRNA from 1 species
UUCAUCCCUACCCUCUCUCUUCUUUUCAUUACUGUGUAUGCAUGAAGAAUUAAUUAUUUAAACUAUUUGUGCUUGAAGUAAAGGCAGGUAUGUUCAUCACGAAAUAAAUAUAUAACAUGCAAUACUACUAGUUACAACAUUAAUAUCUUAAAAUGAUUUUUGGGGCCUUCCUUCCAGGUUCAAUCAACUGCAACAGCAUUGCCAGAGAAGGAGACACCAGAGGUAACCCAGGUUGAGAAGCCAGCGGCCACGGAAGUAGAGGAAACAGAAACAGGUGCCCCUGUUGUAGUUGCAGAGGAAAGCGAAGCUCCGGUUGAAGUUGAUACCAAAGAAGCCAAUGCUGAUGAGGAAUAGAAGCCAGAUGAUACCAAAGAAGAGACUACAGAGGUGAAGCCAGAAACAGUUGCAGUAGAGAUACGGUGGAAGCACCAGCAGAAGAGGAAAAGGCUGACAAAGCAGAACGAACAGGUUCCUGUUGUUGAUAAGGCUCAGGAAUAGAGAGCCACCAUAAUUAAGAAGAAGCUUUUAUCUUACAGGGUGCAUCACAGUCCUAGUGCCUCUGUUAUUUGUUUAUUAUUAUGAUUUAGUGUUUUUGGUUCUAUAUGGUGUUAAUUUGGGUCGAGGGUCAACACACAUACCAUGCUGAUGCUUUUGUAUGAUUUAUAUUGUUUGGGUUCCAAGAGAGUUUGAUAUAGUGUGAUAUAGGAUAUGUGAUCUCUAUUAUGUUUUGCAUAAAG